GAAAUCACCGGCAUAGCCGGGAUAAAAUUCUAUCCACCUUGUGUGCAAACAAUGGAAAAAGAGAAAAUUGGAACAUUCUUCCAACUUCUCUAAAAUUUUAAUAAACUCCAUCAAAUUUUGAAUAAAACAAUUUUUUUAAUAAAAAAUAUUAUA
rnacentral:misc_RNA from 1 species